rnacentral:rRNA from 1 species
UACGUAGGUGGCAAGCGUUGUCCGGAAUUAUUGGGCGUAAAGCGCGCGCAGGCGGCUUCUUAAGUCUGAUGUGAAAGCCCACGGCUCAACCGUGGAGGGUCAUUGGAAACUGGGGAGCUUGAGUACAGAAGAGGAGAGUGGAAUUCCAUGUGUAGCGGUGAAAUGCGUAGAUAUAUGGAGGAACACCAGUGGCGAAGGCGGCUCUCUGGUCUGUAACUGACGCUGAGGCGCGAAAGCUAGGGGAGCAAACGGG